rnacentral:rRNA from 1 species
AUUGAACGCUGGCGGCAGGCCUAACACAUGCGAGUCGAGCGGAUGAAGGGAGCUUGCUCCUGGAUUCAGCGGCGGACGGGUGAGUAAUGCCUAGGAAUCUGCCUGGUAGUGGGGGAUAACGUCCGGAAACGGGCGCUAAUACCGCAUACGUCCUGAGGGAGAAAGUGGGGGAUCUUCGGACCUCACGCUAUCAGAUGAGCCUAGGUCGGAUUAGCUAGUUGGUGGGGUAAAGGCCUACCAAGGCGACGAUCCGUAACUGGUCUGAGAGGAUGAUCAGUCACACUGGAACUGAGACACGGUCCAGACUCCUACGGGAGGCAGCAGUGGGGAAUAUUGGACAAUGGGCGAAAGCCUGAUCCAGCCAUGCCGCGUGUGUGAAGAAGGUCUUCGGAUUGUAAAGCACUUUCAGUUGGGAGGAAGGGCAGUAAGUUAAUAUCUUCCUGUUUUGACGUUACCAACAGAAUAAGCACCGGCUAACUUCGUG